UAGGGAAUCUUCCACAAUGGACGCAAGUCUGAUGGAGCAACGCCGCGUGAGUGAAGAAGGUUUUCGGACCGUAAAGCUCUGUUGUUGGUGAAGAAGGAUAGAGGUAGUAACUGGCCUUUAUUUGACGGUAAUCAACCAGAAAGUCACGGCUAACUACGUGCCAGCAGCCGCGGUAAUACGUAGGUGGCAAGCGUUGUCCGGAUUUAUUGGGCGUAAAGCGAGCGCAGGCGGAAGAAUAAGUCUGAUGUGAAAGCCCUCGGCUUAACCGAGGAAUUGCAUCGGAAACUGUUUUCUUGAGUGCAGAAGAGGAGAGUAGAACUCCAUGUGUAGCGGUGGAAUGCGUAGAUAUAUGGAAGAAUACCAGUGGCGAAGGCGGCUCUCUGGUCCGUGCAACUGACGCUGAGGCUCGAAAGCAUGGGUAGCGAACAGGAUUAGAUACCCUGGUAGUCCAUGCCGUAAACGAUGAGUGCUAAGUGUUGGGAGGCUUCCGCCUCUCAGUGCUGCAGCUAACGCAUUAAGCACUCCGCCUGGGGAGUACGACCGCAAGGUUGAAAC
rnacentral:rRNA from 1 species